UCAAAGCUGUGUACAUCAACAAAGCAGUGGAAUCAGGGAAACAACGUGGAAGAACUCCAUGGCGCUUUUAUAUCAAGACAUUAUUUAAAAAAAGUAACAAAGCUAACAUCCAGCAGACCACCACCACCACUAACCAAGGAUGCAGAACGUUAAGGUACACCGAAGGCAUAGAACAAAAGACUGGACAUGCUCAGAAUGGAAAAUAAUUGCGGUAUUAAUGAACUCUAAUAGGGCUUAACUGACUUCUACUGCAACACUUCAAGAAAGAAAUGUGGACACCGACCAACAACUGCUCAGCUUCUUAGAAGUGCAGUCACUGAACAAACCUUGUUUUUAAGAAAGAAGUACAUCAACUGACGAACAUCUGCUUAGCCUCCAAAAUAGAUAUCUACUAAACUAAACUAACCACCGACCUCACUGGAAAUUCCAAAACCCAGUACACCUCUUAUAAACUCAGAAUGGAAGAUGAUGUGAAAGUUUAUUUGGUAAAAUUUGAGCAGGUGUUAAUAGAACAACUGGUUCCAAAACUGAUUUAGCUAGGAUGCUGUCAAGUGUAACCAGAGACUCCAAACCAGUACAAUUUGUCCUCAGCAAGAUAAAGUAAUGCACUAGCAAGUAAUAUUUUGUUUAAAAACAGUUGUUUUAUAGACUUUCAUCCAAAAAUGCAAGACUUCUUCAGAACUAAACAUGUUGUAACAGAUAUUUUUAAAUACUAAGUUUUCAUGUGAUUUUAAUACAAGUCAUGUAAUAUAAAACAUUAAUUCUUAGAGACCAGCAAACAAAUGAGUAAAACCUACUUCAACGCAUAAAAUAAUGUUUAAAAUUCCAUAUUAUAAACAUUCACUUGUACUAAAAAUAAUAAAAGUAAAUUUUAUUUCUUAUGCUGAAAAGGUAACCAUAAAAGAACUGCAUGUUUGUUACAGUUUGGCUGCCCUCAUAAUUAAAACAGAAUCCAAGACCAUACAGUCAUUUACACCUGUGUGACAUGUUGAGUUCAACCUAAUCAGCCAGAGAAUCUCAUUUAUAUGCAAGAGUGUUUUCCCAUGAGCUAGUACUGCAAUGUAAAGAUACCAUGUCCACCAUAAAGAAAUGUAUAUUAAAAGUUUUGCACAUAA